CCUCUCUGUGUCUGGACUUUGGAGGAGGCGACAGAGACGAGAGGGAUCCAACCAGGGCUUCAACCGGAGGUCUCAGGGGCGGCCAAAGGUUUUUCCUCGAUAAUGGAGCCUAUCAGUACUGGAAACCGCGCUGCUAGUGCUCUUCAGAAGGCCGAGGCAGUCUCUCAUCUCCGGGAGGGGAUCUCGUUGCUUCUCUCCCAAUGGACAGGCCUUCAAUUGGCCGUCAAGAAUGGGUGGGGCGGCCAUGACUCCCUCCAGAAGUCCAAGCAGCUAGCCACCGAUAUCUUAUCCUGGUUCUUUCAAUCCAAUGCACAUCUGAGUCUGGAGGAUAUAGAGAAUUUUCUCCAUGAAAGCAUGCUGUUCUCUUUCAACACGGAGAUUGAAGAUGGUAGCAUUGAGGAGGUGGCAGAACAGUUGAUGAUUAUGCAUGAAGAAUAUUGGCAUGGAAGCCAUUAUUAGUCAACAUGAUACUAAAGGACCAAACUCCGAACCAGAAACUAAUUAUCUUCGAAGCAGCGGGUGGCUACGUACGUACAGAUACAGCCAUCAGAUCGAAGAAGUCCUUAAACUUCAUGUCUUGCUAUAGAUGUCCUUGCGCAGCUGGCUCAUAAAGAUUGGCAAUAAGGGAAGAGGCCACCUAGAUAGCUGUGGCAUCGAAAGCUGUAGUUUGGUGCAAAAAUUCUUCAAAACUGACCACAAUACAGCAGCUAGCCUAGAUUAUGAUCAGUACAUGGAGGAGAUGGAAUUUACUUCAAAAAGCUUGAAGACCUGAUGAAGCUGUGUUUUUUCCUCUUGUAUUUUUAACAAUUCUGACACUGGUAAUUAUGUGAUGCUGCUAUGAGAAUAUUGCUGCAAUGCUUAGUACGUAGUAGAGGGAAUUGACUUUAUACAUUAAGUGAAAAGGAGAAAAAUAAAAAAGGAUUGAGCUCA